rnacentral:rRNA from 1 species
AGUACAGACGAGUUUGAUCAUGGCUCAGAACGAACGCUGGCGGCAUGCCUAACACAUGCAAGUCGAACGAAGCCUUCGGACUUAGUGGCGCACGGGUGCGUAACACGUGGGAAUCUGCCCUUCGGUUCGGAAUAACAGUUAGAAAUGACUGCUAAUACCGGAUGAUGACGUAAGUCCAAAGAUUUAUCGCCGAAGGAUGAGCCCGCGUAGGAUUAGGUAGUUGGUAGGGUAAUGGCCUACCAAGCCGACGAUCCUUAGCUGGUCUGAGAGGAUGAUCAGCCACACUGGGACUGAGACACGGCCCAGACUCCUACGGGAGGCAGCAGUGGGGAAUAUUGGACAAUGGGCGAAAGCCUGAUCCAGCAAUGCCGCGUGAGUGAUGAAGGCCUUAGGGUUGUAAAGCUCUUUUACCAGGGAUGAUAAUGACAGUACCUGGAGAAUAAGCUCCGGCUAACUCCGUG